rnacentral:rRNA from 1 species
AUACGUAGGGUGCAAGCGUUAAUCGGAAUUACUGGGCGUAAAGCGCGCGUAGGUGGUUCGUUAAGUUGGAUGUGAAAGCCCCGGGCUCAACCUGGGAACUGCAUCCAAAACUGGCGAGCUAGAGUAUAGCAGAGGGUGGUGGAAUUUCCUGUGUAGCGGUGAAAUGCGUGGAUAUAGGAAGGAACACCAGUGGCGAAGGCGACCACCUGGGCUAAUACUGACACUGAGGUGCGAAACGGUGGGGAGCAAACAGGAUUAGAUCCCCUGGUAGUCCACGCCGUAAACGAUGUCGACUAGCCGUUGGGAUCCUUGAGAUCUUAGUGGCGCAGCUAACGCAUUAAGUCGACCGCCUGGGGAGUACGGCCGCAAGGUUAAAACUCAAAUGAAUUGACGGGU